UACGGAGGGUGCGAGCGUUGUCCGGAAUCACUGGGCGUAAAGGGCGCGUAGGCGGCGCGGGGAGUCAACGGUGAAAGCUCGGCGCUCAACGCCGAGUCGGCCGUCGAUACUCCCGUGCUCGAGCACUGUAGAGGCAGGUGGAAUUCCCGGUGUAGUGGUGGAAUGCGUAGAUAUCGGGAGGAACACCAGUGGCGAAGGCGGUUGCCUGGAGCUUUGCUGACGCUGAGGCGCGAAAGCGUGGGGAGCGAACAGG
rnacentral:rRNA from 1 species